GAUGAACGCUGGCGGCGUGCCUAAUACAUGCAAGUCGAGCGAACAGACGAGGAGCUUGCUCCUCUGACGUUAGCGGCGGACGGGUGAGUAACACGUGGAUAACCUACCUAUAAGACUGGGAUAACUUCGGGAAACCGGAGCUAAUACCGGAUCAUAUAUUGAACCGCAUGGUUCAAUAGUGAAAGACGGUUUUGCUGUCACUUAUAGAUGGAUCCACGCCGCAUUAGCUAGUUGGUAAGGUAACGGCUUACCAAGGCAACGAUGCGUAGCCGACCUGAGAGGGUGAUCGGCCACACUGGAACUGAGACACGGUCCAGACUCCUACGGGAGGCAGCAGUAGGGAAUCUUCCGCAAUGGGCGAAAGCCUGACGGAGCAACGCCGCGUGAGUGAUGAAGGUCUUCGGAUCGUAAAACUCUGUUAUUAGGGAAGAACAAAUGUGUAAGUAACUAUGCACGUCUUGACGGUACCUAAUCAGAAAGCCACGGCUAACUACGUG
rnacentral:rRNA from 1 species